GGGUUUGGGUCGUACUCACGUAAAUAAUUUUAUAAGGUAGUCUAAUGGAGGAUAGCUAAAACUAAACUUUUGAAAUAAUAGCGAAGAUUACUCUCAUAGUAAUAUAUGAUACUAAAAUUGAACUCAUAACCCGUAUAUUAUAACUUAAAAGUUCUCAUCUGUGUUGUUUGUAUAUGAUAUCAUCUAUAUCAUAAUUAUAAAUUAUUCAUAAAUAUAUGAAAUUGUUUUAUUCAAACUUUCCACCCGAAGGGCGGGCCGACCCUAGUAUAUAUAUAUAUUAAUAUAAAGUAGACAUUCAUUCUUUUCUGGUGAAGCCACCUCAUCAAAUAGAAAAAAAAGCAGAAGAUGACACGUGGACAAGUAAUUCUAAAACUAUAUCGCUUUCUUUUAAACUCCAUUGUCUUUUGUAAGGCCCAUUAAAGUCCAGCUCUGAUUAUCUUCUUUGUCCAUAGGAUUUCCUCGACUACGACGGUCAUAUCUUCCAAGUCGUAACCCUAACGCUUCUGCUCCACUAACUGUGAUACCGUAACGGUUGUUAAUGAUGACAUUCAAUCCCAUAAUUCCACUACCUCCUCUUUAAGUCAGCCUUAUCGCCUUCUACAGUGUCAUCCAAUCUAUAUAUAAAUCCACAGAAGCUACUUCGUGCUCAGAUGAAGGCAGGUCGAUGUAUCUAGACGGUUGAGACAUGGGUUUUACGCUUUUGAAAGGCACGAAAUAUCAAGAAAGGAGGCCAGCGAUGGGAGUCGACAUGAUUUUAGUUGAUGAAAAGGCUUCCGUUGCGUUCAUCGCUCCAAAAAGUUGCGAUUUAUGAGACUGUGACUGCUCUUUAUCAUUUGUUUUGUACGGAUGGAUAUAUAUCUGAAACCAAGCCUCUGAAUUAUAUGGAUGGAUCAAGGAUGAUUUUGUGGCUGAAGGAUUGAAAACAGUCAUGAAUAGGGCUCAAGUCGUCAAAGCUUUGCUACUUCUCCAUCCUGAGUCUGAUGAUUCUUCUCAGUAUCCCAGAUUGACCUCUCAGCUGUCCUUGCUAUCAACUUUGAAUCAUGCUGGUGAAUUGACUGAUUCUUCAGUCACUUUGCAAAAAAAAAAAAAACUGAGAAAUCGAGGUUCACGUGUGAGUAGACUCAGUGGAGAUUACAAAAGGGAUAUAUCCUCAAAGGUUGUUGAGCUCUUGCCUGAGAUGAACACCCUAUGCAUUUACUAGAUCAAACAUUUUGGGGUCUAGCAGUGUUCCUGCAGCAUAACCGUGACGUAUCAAGACAUGACAGGCGCCACGUGGUCGAAGGAUGUCCGAUAGGUUCUGGACCAGAACAAGACUCUUAAACACGGAGGCGCUAAAUAACUGGGCUAAUGACAAAGAUAUAGUGUAUGUCGCAGCGGGAAUUUACAAGAACAAGAGCUUGCCGACUUUGUAUGUUGAUGCAAACUGGUUUGGGAGCGUUGGCUAGACGAUUUCCUUUGAACGAUUUGAAUACCCAUCAGUGUAGACAUAACAUCUGUGAGGAUGCGGAUGUGCAUUGCAAAAUUUAAGGAAUAACAAGCCAGGAAGUAGCUGCCACGCCAGUAACCUUGAGAAUUGUUGCAGGACGUGCUACUACAAGCAUAUGAGAAAGUUAUUGGCUUCAAUCUGACACAACAUAGCUACCAUUCCCCUGCAACAUCUAACAUACCCACUUCAACAUUUUGCUUUUUCAAAUCUCAAAUAAAUUAUAUUUUCUUCAGCUACAUAUCGAAGAACGAAUAGUAUCAGUUAACUUUGUACCAAA